AUGUAAUCUUUGUAGCAUGGGCUGUUUGUUGGCAACCGAAGGUUUCUGCUGAUGCCCAUUGUGUUUAGGACCUGGGGUCAGAGGUGCUCCUGCUCUUCCCUUUGCCAGACAAAAGCAUCAGUGGUGACACAGUGCUCUUUACAGAAAAGCUCCCGCAAAGAAGGAUGGAAAUGUUGAGCUGUGUCUUAUUUCUGGAGCACCAGUCUUUGCCAAAAGCCUUGUGCUUGGCCACAGACAUGAAUAAAAGGAGCAAGGCACAGGUAAAAUGCUAUGUCGUCGUCCUCCCACUCACCUCCCCCCUGCCCUCCGCCUUUCUGUCACAUGUGAGAUUUCAGUAGCAUGCAGCCUUGCUGGGAGCUGGGGCAAUAAUUGGGAUCUGAAACACUGCUGAAUGACUCACACACACUUUAUCUAUGUCUGUCCACACUGUUGUGGCUUUUCUUGCUGGUGACAACGUGGCGGAGAAGGACAGGGUGAGAGAGCAAGAUAGCGUGGAUGCGGGGGGCCAUGCCAAGAUGGAGUGAUUUCUCAUGUAGUGUUACAGUAAUGACCAACGUGACACAGAAGGAAAAUUCUGUGACAAUAUGGUGCUCUUGUCCUGUUAUGGAUAGGAGUCAAUCUCUUUGCUGCGGGCAGUCUAACCCUCUCAUGGAGGCAGUGCAGCCAUGACCCAGCAGAACACCAGCUGUGUGUUGUGAGGUGUGUGGGCCAUGUGGAACCAGGAAAGAGUGCUUGCACCCAACACAAUCACUAAGCAGUGUGCAGGGGCUGGAAAGAAUUGCAGAGAGACAAUGAUUAACCAAAACCUGCUGCUUCCGUAUCACAGAGGGAAUCAGAGCAAAUUCCACCAUCAAUUCAUAGAGAUGAAAAUCCAACAGGAGGGCGCCCACACAGAUACCACCUUUUGAAAGGCAAUAUAAAUUCUGCAUCAUUAUGUGUAUUUAACUGUAUGCAUAAGGUAAAGAUCUUUCAACACCCUCAUAAACUUCUCCAUAAUUUGUAUGGAGAAUAUAUCACAGUGUAAUAUAUACAUGGGAGAGCUGGGAUGCUGUUCUACUCUUGCUUUGAAUUAGUCAAGUUUGAAACUUGAGAACAAAGGGAAAGAGGAGGUGAAUUUUGGUCAGCUUGAAUAUUUCAAAUAGCAUUCUAGAAAUGCUUUUAAUGGAGAACAAUGCAAAAUAAUGAGGAUGCUGACUGUCUGUGGAUGAUGAGGAAGACCACAGAAUGAUCCAGUGGACUCAGAACAUAUUGGGCUGGUGAAGAGGACAGGUGAAGCUUAUGUGCUGUAGUCCUGACAUUUGCAGCUUCAGUCUGAGAAUCUUCACUGCUCCUGAGAAGUGUGGAUGGACAAAUCCAGUUCUUGGAAAUGGUUCUAUAAGAAGUAGACCCACAGACUAGUUUCCUUGCUUGCUACCUAAAUGCCAGUUGCUCUUCCAGUUCUUUAGACAUGGCAUACAUUGCAAAGCACAGCCAUUUCUUUAUCAGAGGGAAAUACACCCCUAUAAGAGAGAUUUUAAUUUACAUCUCAUAAAUGAAACUUCGUCCUUGUGGUGUCCUGCAGAACGAUAUUAACAGGACUGUUUUAAUCUCUGCAGUGGUUUUACCUUUAGUUUUUGGAAUUGUUCUAAACUUGUGAUAUUAUUUUAAAAUUGUUAGAAUAGGGAGGAUUAGCCUGAUUCUAUAUUUCACAUUAAGUACCUUUUAAAAUUUCUCCUAGUGAAGGGCUACCAGCCUGCUGCUUAGUGACUAAUAAAUUUGAUUCAUCCUCACUCCCCACAGGGUUAUCCUCCUUCUUACUAAUGUUUGACAUUUUACGUUUUAAUUAAAAUCACCCUACAAGCAGCAAACCACUAAGAGAAUGACAGAGAUUCUUACUGCAACAAGAUAUAAGUAAAAGGCCAAUUCACUAACUAUAUCUUCAAUAGUGCCUGUUACUAGUUCUCAACGUGACUACUAUGUGAUAUGACAUACAGGAGAAGAUGCAACACCUAUCUUAUUGUCCAGGGGGUUUCCAAUCUAACAAGAAUCUAUCAUUUAAUGUCUGCAUGUCAGGAGGAGUGACCUGGACUUGUGUUGCUUGAUUGGUCCUGUACAGACCCAAGUCAGGUAGUAACCUAAUAGAAGGGAAGGAUAGCAACAAGGAGCAGUGAAAGUCUGUUCAAUUGCCAUGAAGAUGCUGUCAAAUUGUGUAGCAGCUGGCUCCUAGCUGUCCCAGCUGUCAUUUAGGGGCUGUUUUUUAAGUGAGCCUCCCUUUCGAGGGAAACAGAUAUGGGUAGAAUCAGUGGACGGGUUUAGAGAGGGUUUUUAUGUAAGGGCCUGUACUAGUAAGGAUGGGAAAAAAGCAGCACAAGAAGGUGAAGAAUAGACAGGAAAACUGGUGUUGGCAACUGGAAAGAGAUGGUUGGCUGGACUUCAGUAAGGAAGCUGUAGCAGAUAUGUGAAGGUGUGAGACACACAAAGUGGGAGACCAGCAUUACAAUGUGCUUAGAAAGAAAAGGAGAUGAAGUUACCAGAAUAGGUGGAUACCCUUUGCAGAGGUGACUCUGUAGGCCCUGAGACAGGCAGUAUAUAGAGGCCUGGAAAAAAGUCAACUGUUUGAACAGAACAAAGGAGAAAUGAAAAUACACCAAUGGAAAUGUUUUUACUGAUUUGCACAUGAGGCAAGGAAAGAUAAUUCACUGCACAUGCUCUCUGAGGUACACAGCCUGAUGACAACAAGAUGGUGGUGCCAAGGGAUAAGGACAGGGACACAGCAGCUCUGUAAGUACACUGAGAAACUAGUUCCUGACCUUCUAGGUAAGAGAAGGAAAGAUACUGAUAUGGUAAUUUGGGAAUGGCAUCAAACCCAGAAUGAGACUCUGCUUUCACCUCUGAUGGAGAUCCCUGGUACUAGUUGUGAAACUGCUUCUGAAAAGCUUGCCUCAUUCAGAUGACAAUGACUGGAUGUGUGUGAUAUAGAAAAUGUCAUUUUCCUUUCCCCAUGCAGCCUAAAAACACGUGGCUGUGUUGUCAGAAGGCGGUAACACAAGCCUAUGUCUCAAACAAGGAAGCAUCAUCUUGACCCUCACUAGCGUGCCUCACUCCCUCUGAAAACCAGCAACAAAAAAUAUUUUUCUCAUACAUAUUUUGCCUGCUGUUGAGGAUUUUAUUUUAAACGACUUUAGAAAACAAAAUGUGCAGGGAAGCCUGCAAAAUCCUGCAAGUUACAGGCUUGCUCAGGCUUUUCUGAAUUACGAUACAAACCUCCAAGCAAUAGUGGAGAAAUGACUAUUUCCUUUCAUAUAUUAUUCUUGCUGCCCUUAGGAGAUGAACAGUGUGAAAUAUGUGACUUCUGAACAGAAACAUACCUUAUGGAGGGGAUGAAGGCUUAGAUAUAUCAAUAUGAAUAAAUGGGAAGAAAGACUGACAGAAUGAUUUUACAUUUCCAGCUCAUUCCUUCUCCUUUCUGGGACAGAAAAGUCUGGGAAACAUGGUAGUUCCUCUUAAGGAGCUUAAAUGAUGUUCAUUUCAGCUGUACCAAAUAUCGACGAUCAAGAGGGACUAACUGGCCUCCAGGUGCUCCAGAGAGACAGUUGGUUUUGGUUUACUGGAGUAGCUGGUAGAUAGUAACAACCCUGUUGUUGGUACGUCUGUUGGUAGUAAGAGCUCCAUGAAUAAAAGGUGUUUGUUGUCAGAAAUAUUGUUUGUGUCUCCCCGUGGCUCGAUGCUCUGAGAAGGAAUUUAUAGCAGAGCUGUCUUCUUCUAUU